AGACGGACAAAGACAUGGUAAGUAAAAAGGAAAGAGUUUUUUACAGAGAACUCCGCAAGCUGAGAAGGAGAAAAACGUCCUUUUGAAAAUGGCCAUCGAGUGAUUCAUCUGUAAGUUUAUAAAAUAAAGAGAUGACGGGGCAACCGAUAUUUUGCUAGUAUAUCCCUAUACUAUAAAGAGAAGCUGGUUUAUCUAUACAGCUUAAUUGAGGUGGUACCGCGCGUUAGCGUCCUCAAG
rnacentral:ncRNA from 1 species